rnacentral:rRNA from 2 species
UGCUGGAGCGAAUAGAAGUGAGCAUGCAGGCAUGAGUAGCGAUAAUUAAUGUGAGAAUCAUUAACGCCGUAAACCCAAGGUUUCCUACGCGAUGCUCGUCAUCGUAGGGUUAGUCGGGUCCUAAGUCGAGUCCGAAAGGGGUAGACGAUGGCAAAUUGGUUAAUAUUCCAAUACCAACAUUAGUGUGCGAUGGAAGGACGCUUAGGGCUAAGGGGGCUAGCGGAUGGAAGUGCUAGUCUAAGGUCGUAGGAGGUUAUACAGGCAAAUCCGUAUAACAAUACUCCGAGAACUGAAAGGCUUUUUGAAGUCUUCGGAUGGAUAGAAGAACCCCUGAUGCCGUCGAGCCAAGAAAAGUUUCUAAGUUUAGCUAAUGUUGCCCGUACCGUAAACCGACACAGGUGGGUGGGAUGAGUAUUCUAAGGCGCGUGGAAGAACUCUCUUUAAGGAACUCUGCAAAAUAGCACCGUAUCUUCGGUAUAAGGUGUGGUUCGCUUCGUAUUAGGAUUUACUCCGAAAGCGAAGAAACUUACAACAAAGAGUCCCUCCCGACUGUUUACCAAAAACACAGCACUCUGCUAACUCGUAAGAGGAUGUAUAGGGUGUGACGCCUGCCCGGUGCUCGAAGGUUAAUUGAUGGGGUUAGCAUUAGCGAAGCUCUUGAUCGAAGCCCGAGUAAACGGCGGCCGUAACUAUAACGGUCCUAAGGUAGCGAAAUUCCUUGUCGGUUAAAUACCGACCUGCAUGAAUGGCGUAACGAGAUGGGAGCUGUCUCAAAGAGGGAUCCAGUGAAAUUGUAGUGGAGGUGAAAAUUCCUCCUACCCGCGGCAAGACGGAGAGACCCCGUGGACCUUUACUACAGCUUGACACUGCUAUUUGGAUAAGAAUGUGCAGGAUAGGUGGGAGGCUUUGAGUAUAUGACGCCAGUUGUAUAUGAGCCAUUGUUGAGAUACCACUCUUUCUUAUUUGGGUAGCUAACCAGCUUGAGUUAUCCUCAAGUGGGACAAUGUCUGGUGGGUAGUUUGACUGGGGCGGUCGCCUCCCAAAUAAUAACGGAGGCUUACAAAGGUUGGCUCAGAACGGUUGGAAAUCGUUCGUAGAGUAUAAAGGUAUAAGCCAGCUUAACUGCAAGACAUACAAGUCAAGCAGAGACGAAAGUCGGUCUUAGUGAUCCGGUGGUUCUGUGUGGAAGGGCCAUCGCUCAAAGGAUAAAAGGUACCCCGGGGAUAACAGGCUGAUCUCCCCCAAGAGCUCACAUCGACGGGGAGGUUUGGCACCUCGAUGUCGGCUCAUCGCAUCCUGGGGCUGGAGCAGGUCCCAAGGGUAUGGCUGUUCGCCAUUUAAAGCGGUACGCGAGCUGGGUUCAGAACGUCGUGAGACAGUUCGGUCCCUAUCUGCCGUGGGCGUAAGAAGAUUGAAGAGAUUUGACCCUAGUACGAGAGGACCGGGUUGAACAAACCACUGGUGUAGCUGUUGUUCUGCCAAGAGCAUCGCAGCGUAGCUAAGUUUGGAAAGGAUAAACGCUGAAAGCAUCUAAGCGUGAAGCCAACUCUAAGAUGAAUCUUCUCUAAGCUCUCUAGAAGACUACUAGUUUGAUAGGCUGGGUGUGUAAUGGAUGAAAGUCCUUUAGCUGACCAGUACUAAUAGAGCGUUUGGCUUAUCUUUAAUAAAGCAU